GGCCGCCUGGCGAAAUGGCAUCGCGUCUGACUACGAUUGUGCCUUCGAAAUCAGGAGAUUGCAGGUUCGACCCCUGCGGUGGUCA